ACUCAAAUGAAUUGACGGGGACUUGCACAAGCAGAGGAUUAUGUGGUUUAAUUCGAUGGUAAACGAAGAACCUUACCAAGAUUGGAAAUUUAACUGAAUACAUGUGGAAACAUAUGUAGUCCGCAAGGACAGUUAGACAGGUGUUGCAUGGCCGUCGUCAGUUCGUGACUUGAGUUGUUCCCUUCAGUGGGGUAACGAACGCAACCCUCGUUGCCUGUUACAAGUGUCAGGCGAGACUGCCUCUUAUCAGAGGAGGAAGGUGAGGAUGACGCCAGGUCAGCAUGACCCUUUGAUAUCUUGGGCUACACACAUAAUACAAUGGCGCGUACAACGGGUCGCAAUGGAGUAAUCCGGAGCUAAUCCUUAGAAAGCGCGCCUCAGUUCAGAUUGGGGGCUGAAACUCGACCCCAUGAAGUUGGAUUUGCUAGUAAUCGCGGGUCAGCCAUACCGCGGUGAAUACGUUCUCAAGUCUUGUACACACCGCCCGU
rnacentral:rRNA from 1 species